CGAAUGCUGACAUAAGUAACGAUAAAGCGGGUGAAAAGCCCGCUCGCCGGAAGACCAAGGGUUCCUGUCCAACGUUAAUCGGGGCAGGGUGAGUCGACCCCUAAGGCGAGGCCGAAAGGCGUAGUCGAUGGGAAACAGGUUAAUAUUCCUGUACUUGGUGUUACUGCGAAGGGGGGACGGAGAAGGCUAUGUUGGCCGGGCGACGGUUGUCCCGGUUUAAGCGUGUAGGCUGGUUUUCCAGGCAAAUCCGGAAAAUCAAGGCUGAGGCGUGAUGACGAGGCACUACGGUGCUGAAGCAACAAAUGCCCUGCUUCCAGGAAAAGCCUCUAAGCAUCAGGUAACAUCAAAUCGUACCCCAAACCGACACAGGUGGUCAGGUAGAGAAUACCAAGGCGCUUGAGAGAACUCGGGUGAAGGAACUAGGCAAAAUGGUGCCGUAACUUCGGGAGAAGGCACGCUGAUAUGUAGGUGAAGUCCCUCGCGGAUGGAGCUGAAAUCAGUCGAAGAUACCAGCUGGCUGCAACUGUUUAUUAAAAACACAGCACUGUGCAAACACGAAAGUGGACGUAUACGGUGUGACGCCUGCCCGGUGCCGGAAGGUUAAUUGAUGGGGUCAGCGCAAGCGAAGCUCUUGAUCGAAGCCCCGGUAAACGGCGGCCGUAACUAUAACGGUCCUAAGGUAGCGAAAUUCCUUGUCGGGUAAGUUCCGACCUGCACGAAUGGCGUAAUGAUGGCCAGGCUGUCUCCACCCGAGACUCAGUGAAAUUGAACUCGCUGUGAAGAUGCAGUGUACCCGCGGCAAGACGGAAAGACCCCGUGAACCUUUACUAUAGCUUGACACUGAACAUUGAGCCUUGAUGUGUAGGAUAGGUGGGAGGCUUUGAAGUGUGGACGCCAGUCUGCAUGGAGCCGACCUUGAAAUACCACCCUUUAAUGUUUGAUGUUCUAACGUUGACCCGUAAUCCGGGUUGCGGACAGUGUCUGGUGGGUAGUUUGACUGGGGCGGUCUCCUCCUAAAGAGUAACGGAGGAGCACGAAGGUUGGCUAAUCCUGGUCGGACAUCAGGAGGUUAGUGCAAUGGCAUAAGCCAGCUUGACUGCGAGCGUGACGGCGCGAGCAGGUGCGAAAGCAGGUCAUAGUGAUCCGGUGGUUCUGAAUGGAAGGGCCAUCGCUCAACGGAUAAAAGGUACUCCGGGGAUAACAGGCUGAUACCGCCCAAGAGUUCAUAUCGACGGCGGUGUUUGGCACCUCGAUGUCGGCUCAUCACAUCCUGGGGCUGAAGUAGGUCCCAAGGGUAUGGCUGUUCGCCAUUUAAAGUGGUACGCGAGCUGGGUUUAGAACGUCGUGAGACAGUUCGGUCCCUAUCUGCCGUGGGCGCUGGAGAACUGAGGGGGGCUGCUCCUAGUACGAGAGGACCGGAGUGGACGCAUCACUGGUGUUCGGGUUGUCAUGCCAAUGGCACUGCCCGGUAGCUAAAUGCGGAAGAGAUAAGUGCUGAAAGCAUCUAAGCACGAAACUUGCCCCGAGAUGAGUUCUCCCUGACUCCUUGAGAGUCCUGAAGGAACGUUGAAGACGACGACGUUGAUAGGCCGGGUGUGUAAGCGCAGCGAUGCGUUGAGCUAACCGGUACUAAUGAACCGUGAGG
rnacentral:rRNA from 1 species